rnacentral:rRNA from 1 species
UACGUAGGUGGCAAGCGUUAUCCGGAUUUAUUGGGCGUAAAGAGAACGCAGGCGGUCUUUUAAGUCUGAUGUGAAGGCCUUCGGCUUAACCGGAGUAGUGCAUUGGAAACUGGGAGACUUGAGUGCAGAAGAGGAGAGUGGAACUCCAUGUGUAGCGGUGAAAUGCGUAGAUAUAUGGAAGAACACCAGUGGCGAAAGCGGCUCUCUGGUCUGUAACUGACGCUGAGGUUCGAAAGCGUGGGUAGCAAACAGG